GGCUGGUCCGAUGGUAGUGGGUUAUCAGAACUUAUUAACAUUAGUGUCACUAAAGUUGGUAUUCAACCCCCCACUGCUAAAUUUGACUGGUUUGAA
rnacentral:Y_RNA from 1 species